rnacentral:miRNA from 1 species
GUGGCUGUGGAAGCUCGCAAA